rnacentral:lncRNA from 1 species
GUACCUUUCUACUUUUGUAAGACUUUCCUUUUAUUAAUAUAUUAUUCUUACUUUACUUUACUGAGUUCUUACUUAGUGCAAGUCUUUUAGUCUUGUUGUGCAUUUACUUUAGUAAUAUAGUUGUCUUAGUGAAGUUAGUGACCUGUAACCACUCCUGUGUGUGCAUCAUCGUCCUAUCUUGUAUAGGAGCGUUAGAGUUGUAGGAUUAAGUGUGAGCGUGGUGCUCAUACUUAAGAUUACCUUUGAUUACCACUGGCUUGAACGGAAAGUAGGAGCGCACUCCCUAGUAGGUGACAGAUCGUGGGCGGCAUUAGGUUCUCCUCACGUACAGGCUAGUUCUUAAAAGGUAAGGCGUCCAUAAGCCCAAUAGUCGCUUUCGGUAAGGGGUUAGGUGAAAAACCUUCUAAGCGUCUUACCAGCUCGGCUAUCCCUCGCACACAGUUAGUAAGGC